rnacentral:ncRNA from 1 species
UGUAAGGACGCUUACACUGGGUGUGACUGAAUAAACUUACUGGCAUCUAGCUGGUUAAGGUGAUGAGACACAGGUGGUGCUGCUAUCUUCGGAUAGAAUCGACUUACCAGUCGGGUCUCAGGCAGAGGUGUUUUUCUAAACUGUAGAAAUGCCCGCCUCUUGUUGGUAUACAGGAAUCCAACCACCCUCCUU